rnacentral:rRNA from 1 species
GAUGAACGCUGGCGGCGUGCCUAAUACAUGCAAGUCGAGCGAAUGGAUUAAGAGCUUGCUCUUAUGUAGUUAGCGGCGGACGGGUGAGUAACACGUGGGUAACCUGCCCAUAAGACUGGGAUAACUCCGGGAAACCGGGGCUAAUACCGGAUAACAUUUUGAACCGCAUGGUUCGAAAUUGAAAGGCGGCUUCGGCUGUCACUUAUGGAUGGACCCGCGUCGCAUUAGCUAGUUGGUGAGGUAACGGCUCACCAAGGCAACGAUGCGUAGCCGACCUGGAGGGGGGGUCGGCCACACUGGGACUGAGACACGGCCCAGACUCCUACGGGAGGCAGCAGUAGGGAAUCUUCCGCAAUGGACGAAAGUCUGACGGAGCAACGCCUCGUGAGUGAUGAAGGCUUUCGGGUCGUAAAACUCUGUUGUUAGGGAAGAACAAGUGCUAGUUGAAUAAGCUGGCACCUUGACGGUACCUAACCAGAAAGCCACGGCUAACUACGUGCCAGCCGCCGCAGUAA